UACCUGUUCCAGUGAGAUCAGCGAAUUUAAGCAACGUCGAUCCUGUUUAGUACUCAGAUGGGUGACCGCUUGGGAAUACCUGAUGCUGUA